UACGGGGGGGGCAAGCGUCGUUCGGAAUUACUGGGCGUAAAGGGCUCGUAGGUGGCCAACUAAGUCAGACGUGAAAUCCCCAGGCUUAACCUGGGAACUGCGUCUGAUACUGGAUGGCUUGAAUUCGGGAGAGGGAUGCAGAAUUCCAGGUGUAGCGGUGAAAUGCGUAGAUAUCUGGAGGAAUACCGGUGGCGAAGGCGGCAUCCUGGACCGAGAUUGACACUGAUGAGCGAAAGCUAGGGGAGCAAACGGG
rnacentral:rRNA from 1 species